GUGGGGAAUUUUGGACAAUGGGCGCAAGCCUGAUCCAGCAAUGCCGCGUGCAGGAAGAAGGCCUUCGGGUUGUAAACUGCUUUUGUACGGAACGAAACGGCUCUGGUUAAUACCCGGGGCUAAUGACGGUACCGUAAGAAUAAGCACCGGCUAACUACGUGCCAGCAGCCGCGGUAAUACGUAGGGUGCAAGCGUUAAUCGGAAUUACUGGGCGUAAAGCGUGCGCAGGCGGUUUUGUAAGACAGGCGUGAAAUCCCCGGGCUCAACCUGGGGAUGGCGCUUGUGACUGCAAAGCUGGAGUGCGGCAGAGGUGGAUGGAAUUCCGCGUGUAGCAGUGAAAUGCGUAGAUAUGCGGAGGAACACCGAUGGCGAAGGCAAUCCCCUGGGCCUGCACUGACGCUCAUGCACGAAAGCGUGGGGAGCAAACAGGAUUAGAAACCCGAGUAGUCC
rnacentral:rRNA from 1 species